GUCGAAAAGCGUGGGGGGAGCAAACAGGAUUAGAUAACCUGGUAGUCACGCGUAAAACGAUGUCGACUUGGAGGGUUGUGCCCUGAGGCGUGGCUUCCGGAGCUAACGCGUUAAGUCGACCGCCUGGGGAGUACGGCCGCAAGGUUAAAACUCAAAUGAAUUGACGGGGGCCCGCACAAGCGGUGGAGCAUGUGGUUUAAUUCGAUGCAACGCGAAGAACCUUACCUACUCUUGACAUCCAGAGAACUUAGCAGAGAUGCUUUGGUGCCUUCGGGAACUCUGAGACAGGUGCUGCAUGGCUGUCGUCAGCUCGUGUUGUGAAAUGUUGGGUUAAGUCCCGCAACGAGCGCAACCCUUAUCCUUUGUUGCCAGCGGUCCGGCCGGGAACUCAAAGGAGACUGCCAGUGAUAAACUGGAGGAAGGUGGGGAUGACGUCAAGUCAUCAUGGCCCUUACGAGUAGGGCUACACACGUGCUACAAUGGCGCAUACAAAGAGAAGCGACCUCGCGAGAGCAAGCGGACCUCAUAAAGUGCGUCGUAGUCCGGAUUGGAGUCUGCAACUCGACUCCAUGAAGUCGGAAUCGCUAGUAAUCGUGGAUCAGAAUGCCACGGUGAAUACGUUCCCGGGCCUUGUACACACCGCCCGUCACACCAUGGGAGUGGGUGCAAAAGAAGUAACUACUAGACCCUGGCACGGACCAAACGCAGCUUCGCA
rnacentral:rRNA from 1 species